CAAGCGACGAAGAAAAGAUAAGUAGUUAGCGUGUACCGUCAAAGAGAGCUGCGAAUGGUGAAAUGCAGUACGGGAGGACCUGAUGAAAAUGGUCUUGGAGUCCAUUGGAUUGCAAGCAGUAGUAAGUAAUUCACGGGGGAUGCCCGAUAUAGCAUACGAGUAUAAUUUCUUAAUUAGAAACGUACUUAGUAAGGAUAUUAAUGUGAAUUAAUAUCGAAUAUGGGUGGUAACACGCUGAAGCGUCCCUAGG
rnacentral:ncRNA from 1 species